rnacentral:lncRNA from 1 species
GGGGAUACAUACCUUUCUUGCUCUUUGAAACUUUUGAGGAGAAUGAGAUGCUCUAUAUUUUCUUUUUCUUUCCUCUCAGGUGGGUAUCUUGUACCCCUAAUUCUACUGUCGGAUACUUGUCCAUUUUUACCUCUUGUCUCACUUUUUAUUUUCUUUCGAGGUUCCGGGCACUUGCCCCUUUUUAUUUCCUCGUAUCAUUUCUC